CUCUCUCUCUGCCCCUCCCCACUCCCACUCUCUCAAAAAAAAAAAAAAAUGCUAAGCAUCAUCCAAGUUUUCAUUGGCUGUAACGUGUUUCUGGCGGAGGGUCGUCCCUCGAUGCCCAUGUCUGCCGGCCUGUCAGCGUGGUGCCCAUGGCAGGCCAGGGUGGCCGUGGCAAUUUCUUCAAACGAGAAUGAAGUUGGCCGCAUCGAUGGACUCUUCUUCCUUUCAUAAAUGAUUUCUCUGCGGCAGGCGGUGCUGUUUGCUGGCCUCUCACCCACAGGAGAAGCUUCUUUCCAAACACAUGCUCUCCAACCUGCCACGGGGUCUCUGAUACUCUGUCCUCGUCACGUCCGCAAUCAUCCCAGCACCCUCACCAGGAGGAGACUCCUUCUCAAGGAACCAGGCUCUUCGCACCUCCCCAGGAAGCGCCUCCUCGUCCGUUCCCGUUUGGUCCUGGGAUGGCAGCGAUUCAGUCCUACCUUCAGGCUCCACCAUCACUCUGCUUCUCCUGUUCCCACCCCACCUGUGGGGACGGCCUCCCCCGGUCUCGACCCCUCACAGUCAUCCAUCGGGGUUGGAAUCAACUCCUUCCACUUCCUGGUAAUGUUGAUGUUCUGACUUCUUCCCACGAUUCACGACCGUUCUGUGGCAUCUAGGAGGGUGACUCCUUUCCGGUUCACUCUGCCCCAGUCCCUCAGAGGAAUCACCAUCUAUGGCAGCUGUAGCUUCACGAAACGUAUUUCCUAAAAAGACGUGAAAGUUGAAGACUUAUCGCUCCACGGGCUGCAGAAUAGGCGGACGUUGUGUUGGCUGCCGUGGAAACAUCUCACUGUUCGUCGUCAGAGCUCAUGGGUGACCCGGUGAGGGGUCAAUGAGCAGUAACAGUUUGAAUCUUUUUUUUCUGAGCGGUAGUCCCAACAGUGGGCUUAAAACAUUCAGUCACGUUGUAAAGACACGGGCUGUCAUCCAGGCUUUGUCAUUCCACUGACAGAGCACAGGCAGAGGGCAGGGGGCAUAAUUCUCCAGGGCCCCAAUUCUCCAGGGCCCAGGAUGGCCACUGAGCACUGGCUGCCCCGUGAAGUCACUAGCUGCAUCAGCCCCUAACAAGAGAGUCAGCCCGUCCCUAGAGGCUUUGAGGCCAGGCACUGACUUCUCUCUGGCCACGAAAGUCCUAAAUGGCCUCUUCUUCCAACAGAAGGCUGUUCAUUUACACUGAAAAUCCGCUGUUCAAUGGGGCCACCUCCAGUCACCUCAGCUACAUCUCCUGACACCUGCUGCCGUCACCUGCACUUGAUGUUAUGGAGAUGCCUUCUUUCCUCAGACCUCAUGACCCAACCUCGGCUGGCUUCAGACUUGUCAGCUUCCUCGCCUCCCUCAGCCUUUGCGGAACUGAAGAGAGCCAAGGCCUUGUUCUGGGACAAGGGACACGGCACAGUGGGUCCACGAAGCAGGCACAGCAUGCACAGUGUGUAUUGAUGAAGUUCGCCAUCGUACGUCCUGGUUUCCCAGUUACAACGGUAACAUCAAGGGUCCCCACGACAACGAGAGAAACAAUGGAAACAUUUGGAAUACUGCAAGCAGGACACACAGACGUGAAGUGAGCAGAUGCUGUAGGAAAACGGCGCCUGUAGCCUUGGCACCACAAACCUCCACUGUGUAGAAAACACAGUAUCUGCAAAGCACAACACAGUGAGGGCCGGGGUCUGGCUGCUGGGGUUCCCCUCAUGAAGAGACACCUGCAGCCUUAAUGUGAAGCCCAAGACCUCAUCGAACAGCAUCUCGAAAGAGUGGCUGACCUUUCCUAGUUGAAAGCGAACAACUCAGAUCUGAGGGGCCGUGUUCCCUCCGCCCUGGAGCCAUGCAGGUAGGUGAGGACUAGUCUGAGCGGUGCAUGUCGGCCUUGUCCCGGUCGCCUGAGACUGGCUGACUGGGUACGUUUUUCACUCACUUGCAUCGAUACUCCGGGUGGCCAGGGACCCUGCUGCAGAAGCCACCUGGCCUCGGGAGCAGACAGCUCACGGCACAUGCCUACUCCUGGCCCUCAGCUACACAAAUGUGCUUACUCCCUGUGAAGGCCAAGCUGAAGACCCGGUUCUGCCAGGCUGGCCUCCAAAAACACACCUGGGGACCUUGUUCGCUGGAGAAGCCAGGACCCCAUCAGGCAGCAGGUCCAAAUGGGGAAGGCACGUUGCCAGUUUAAAGCUGACAUUUCAGAAAGAUUUUCCAGGUGUUUCCCUCCACCUUGGAGGCUGUGCGGUUGAUGGGAAUGGGCCUGAGCUCCACGGGCCAGGGGUGUACAGGCCCCCAGGGUUGAAGCCGGAGUGUGCCCGGCCCCAGUGCAGGCCUCUCUGAUUCACUUAUCCUGGGCCUGAGAGAGGGCCCCUGCCAGGAGGGACUGAGAAUGGAAGGGGAAAUUGUGGGUCCGAGGAAUCUGGAAAAUUCCAAGCCCUAGCCUACACAAAUGCCUGUGAGGAGACAGGACACCCUAAAAUGCGCCACGCUGGCAGGCUGAUGACUUUGAAGUAAGCAGCCAGCACACGAGCCCUUCCCAUGUCAGCGUCCGGGUCAAGUAGAGACAAGAGUGGGAGAACCCCUUCCCACAGCUGGAGAAAAUACUUGCAGAACUCGUUCCUGGUAAGUGGUGCUAACCCUUCUGAGAUUGUGUCUGUAGAAAUCUAUGCGAAAUUUAGCAUUGUGGAAACCGUACAAAACUCCUAAAGAUCUGAUGGGUCCUGGUGUGUUAUUACCUGUAAUUCUGUCAUUUGAAGUGCCCUGAGCCACAGAAGUCCCCAAAUCUCCUUGUCAGCUGCAUGACAGGAACUAAGCAGGAUUUAAACAUGGCCCUUUUAAGUCCUUCCUCAUUUACAGCGGUUGUGCUUUGACUCCGAUGCUUCUGCAAGGGUGCUUCCUUCUCAAGCUGAUGGGGUGAGCACAGACCCAGGUGCUAGAAUGGGCUGUUAAUUUCAGAUAGUACCAUUGACCCAGGGUCAGAUUUACAGAACUCUGCAGGGGGACCCGACAGCCCCACAAAACCAUAACAAAGAUCGAUGAUUCAUUACAUGGAAGUGAAUACUGGGAGGGCAUUUGUAACUGUCAGGACUUCGUUCACGAUCACCUGUCGUGUUCCCGAUAGAAGAACAUCUACUUACAGCAGUUCCGUAAGUGAGACCUUUGUAAACAGGAUGGAGGCUUGUGCCCAACAUGAUGCCCCGAGAUCAGCAACCUCUGUUACAUUCCUGUUUUCACAUCCAUCCUGGCGUACGCUCAGCAGGAAUCUGAUCUCGGAAUGGGGCACGGUUGGGAACACUGCCGAGAUUACCAAGGUUUGACCGGAACCAUAUUUGAGAAAGACCUUGUUGACUCCAAACUGGCCAGCUUUUAGGAACUGAGGUUGACUUUAUGGAGCCACUAAAGCCCCUUGGAAAUGUCCCCUUGAUGGCUUGCUUGCAGGGCCCCUGCAGCCUUCCCAGGGGAUCAAAGGUCACUUCCUCACAGGAGCAAGAACUUCCGGAGAUUUGGGGGCCUCGAGAAGAGAGGAAGUAACCUCCAGCUACAGGCAUUACAAAGAUGGUGAGGUAGCAAGACCCUGAUUCACCUCCUCCCUGGUCGGUAGUUCCUCCUGCAGCACUGAGGGAAUGACUGGACAGACCAAGCAGGGAAGGGCGGGAGAGUAACACUGUGACCUGCGGGGGGUGGAGGGACCAGGAACGGAUUCAUCCGGCCAGGACACACAGAGCCACGGUGUGAAAGGGCAACUAGAAUACAAAGGAAAUAAUGCCAGAGCACCUACCAAAAGGUGGGGGUUUGGAGGUGCUGGCCAGACCGUGACUUCCCUCCCCCCUUUGCCUGGCCAGUGCAGAUGAAGCCAGCCUGCUGCUUCAGCGAGGCUGGGGCCCCAGUCAGCCCACCAAGGCGACCCCGGCGCAGCACCCAGUGCAGCUCCAGCCCUCUCUGCAAGGUGACACACAGGUGCAAAGCACCCUGGGACGUGCCAGGCCUGCUCCUGUGUCAGCUCCACAUGACUGGCCAGGGAACCCCCAGUGUGGAGUACCCCAGAACCACCUGGUCCACAUGCCCUUGGCUCAUGCCAUCCAGCCCAUCCUGGGGCCUCUGUGGAGCACCCUGGGUCCCCUGCUUCAGCUCCAGUGAUCCCACCAGGUGUCCCCUACACUGAAUGCCCUGGGACCUCCUGGCCUGUACCAACCUUACCUCUGCCUGUUCCCGCAGGGCACCCUCUGCACGGAGUACCCUGGGGUCCCCGUGCCCACGCCUGCUUCAGCUCUAGCUGUCCGAUCAGGAUGGCCCUGGGACCCCCACCUGCACCCACCAUAGUGCCAGCCAGCCAGCCAAAGCCCCAGGCAUAUGCAGUUUGCACAGGGCAUGUUCCUGAAUAAGGCCUUUCCUCCAAGAUUGGAGACAGCUGUUCCACCUAACUCACAAACACACACAGAAAGUCAAAAUGAGGAGACAGGAACAUGCUCCAAAUGAAAGAAAAAGACAAAGCUUCAGAAAAACAACCACGUGAAACAGAGAUCAGCAAUCUACCUGAGAAAGACUUCAAAGGAGAGGUCAUAGCAGUGCUCGCUGGACUCGAGAGAAGAGUGGAUGGGCUCAGUGAGAACUUCCCCAGAGAGACAGCAAAUAUAAGAAUCAGAGAAUAUGGUAACUGAAAUGAACACACAGGAGGGAAGCAGCAGAUCACAGGAUGCAGAGGGACGGAUCCGCAACCUGAAAGACAGGGUCAUGGUCCACGUUGAGCCGCAGGGAAGGAAGGAAGACAUGAAUAAAUAAAAAGGAGGCCAAGUUCAGAAAGCUCCAGGACAACACAAAGCCUGUGAGUGCUCACAUUAGAGGGAUCCCAGAAGGAGGAGAGAGAGAAAGGGAAAGCACUUAAAUAAUAACCGAAAACCUCCCUAACCUGAAGAACAGGAAGGAAGGAAAUAGAUAUUCAGGACCAAGAAGAACAGACACCCCCACAGAAGAUGAGGCCCGGGAGGUCCUCCCACAAUAGAUGAUAAUCCAGUGGUCAACGAUUAAAGAGAGAGAGAAUCUUAAAAACAACGGUAGAAAAGCAACCAGUUGCCCACAAGGGAAACCCCCAAGGGCAAUCAGCCGACUUUUCAACAGAAACUUUGCAGGCCGGAGGGAGUGGCAUGAAGUAUGCAAAGUGCUGAACGGGAAGACACAUCCAAGUUCACUGCACUGUUCAGAACUAAAGAAAAGGGAGAGUGUGUCCCACACAAGCAGAAGUUGAAGGCAUUCAUCACCACUGAACUAGCCUUACAAGAAAGGUCUACAGAACUUCUUGAAGUAGCAAAGAAAAGGCUCUAGUUGGAAGAAAACUGAAAGGAAAAUUGUGAGCACAUACACUACAGGUAGUAGAUCACUUUUUUUUUUUUAAUUUUUUUUUAAUGUUUAUUUAUUUUUGAGACAGAGACAGAGCAUGAACAGG